UCAGUUACUUUGUCUAUAUUUAUUUAUGUGCAGUUGUUUGCCUUAUUUAGGAGUACAUGAGUCAAUGUGUUUAUAGCUACAUACAUGGUUUUAUAGGCCUUGCAGCAAAGUUGACUAAUAAACAUGAUCAAAUAAAAUUAUGUUAAACAAAUAUUGGACCUAUUUCAGCUUGGUUUUCUUAUUUUCUGUACUGAUGUUCCUAUUUUAUGUCUUUGCAUGGUGAGAUUUAUGUUAAUUUUUUUCCCAAUCACAGCCUUUCAAGCAAUAGAGUGAUUAGUUAGGAAUUGGCAAACUUUCACUUAUUCUAUUAGUUAGGAUUUGGCAAAGGUUUAGGUUUGUCAGUUAGUUAUGAAAUAUGUGGCUUGAAAAUAGGAUAAUUUAGAGUGAUUAGGAGUCAUAUUAUGUUUUUUGGUUACUGAUAUAAGUAAGGCAAUAUACAAGUUUCAUAAACAUAUAUGGAUAAUAAGGUUUGUGUGCAAAGGUCUGACACUGACACAUACUUAAAUCAACAUUUUAGUUCAAACUUGGUGUGGAGUUCAUUUGUUUAUUUAGUAGUAGAAACUGUAUCUUUAUCUACUUACUUUUAUGAAUGGCAAUUAAAGGAAAGUAUGAUGUUUUAUAUCACAUCAUUAUGGUAAUCAAAUUUUUGCUUAAAACUUUAAAAGAACUCAUUUGGUUAAAUAAAUCUUCUGCAUAAAGAGUAAAACUGAAUUUGAACAUAAAUAUGUUUUAUUCAUCCCCUGUUUUUCUUCUGAUACAAACUACAUUUACUCUCCAAUUGAUCUAAUUUAAAAGCUUGAAAAUAUCACACUGGAAAAAAUAGUUGAGGCAAUACAUGUUUUUACUUAGAUUUUGCUAAUAAAUGGGGAGAUUAGUGGGUUUUAAUGAUAACACUAAUCACUAUUUACACAGGAAUUUGGCCUGAAUCACCAAGCUUUAGAGACACUGACAUGCCACCAGUAGAAGUGCCCUCAAACUGUUUUUGUAAGGAUUAUGUACUUCCACACAUUCCUAUUGUUUGUAAAAUAAUUACAAAGGGAAGUUCAAUAGCUUGUAAUCAAAGGAGUACCACUUCAAUUUUUUUGAUUGCAUCUUAUUUGUUCCUAUAGAAUUCUAGGAUAAAUUCCCCACCUUCCUAUAGGACCAAUGCACAAAAAGUAUUGCGAUGGUUGUUGUGUAUAAUAACUCAUGGAACUAUAAAUGUUUUAUUCAUUUGUUUGGUUUUAGGAUCACAUUAUAUCUUAUGUAGUAGGACUAAGAUAUUUUGUCUACCCUCAAGUGGUCAAAAUGUAUUCAUAACUAUUUAUCAUUGAGGAUAUAUGCCAUUGUUUAUUCACGAACAAUGUUGUCCAGCUGGUUUUGGGUUUCUGGUUAAUGUUCCUGCACCCUGUUUUUUUGCUCACGGGCGAUAGCAGCAGCAGUGAGUAAAUUUUAACUGCAGGCGGAGGAACAAAUUCAGCAGCAACACAAAUGGCAGCCACCGCGAAAUGGGUGGUUAAAAUGCAACAUGGACACCGGGUUUCACAAUCAGAGCGCAACAACAACCUGUGGCCGCUGGUGCAUCAGAGAUGAAGCCGGGAUGUUUGUGCGUGCAGGUACAACAUGGAAUCAUGGAACUCAUUCUAUCAUUGAAGCUGAAGCACUAGCCUUGUUAGAAUCAAUGCAGGCUGCUACAAGUAUGAACAUGAUGAACAAAGCUUCAGUUAAAUUGUUCCAAAUGCGUGACGACCACAGAAAGAAAGGAGUGGAUAUUCCCACAGAAAACGAGUUUCGAGGCUAUUAUGCUCUUCUUAAAUUGGAUAAGCACCCUGGUUAUAAAAGCUCGCAGAACGGGUAAUUUUAUUGCCUUCUUUCGGCUUGCAAAGAAAGCAACUUAUCUUCAAGCAUGUCUAAUGCAUGCUCACUUUGCAAAGUUGCAAUAAAUUUAUGGAGUUCACUUAUCCAUGGACCAUGUUGUCAAUAGCGGUCUAGGGCAGCGUAAUCCCAGUUUUGGAGUUGGCCUCUCUGCUCUGUGAUCUGGGAUUGACAACAUAGGUGAAAUUAUGCCUGAUAUUCAUGACAGUGAAAUUAUGAUAUGGCCAGCACUCCGUCACCAUUGAGCUUCCCCUUUGAUAACAUUAUGCCUGAACUGCAACAUACAAGAAUUGGCGGUUUGAAUAGUACAAAUUAUUUUAAGGCCUUUGAAGCUUCCCCAAGGAGAAACUCACGUGCUAAUGUGGAUGUCAGGCCAUUGGAGGAUAUACCAAAAACUAUUCCACCAGAAAGUUCAUUAGCUAAUAGUUUUUCUUUGCCACCUCCUGGUGUCCAGACUGUAUCCGAGGAUGAUUCUCAGUUUAUUCACCAAAAACAUGAAGAUGAAAUUCUUGAACUUAACACUGUGUUUGUUCACCCUGAAUAUGAAGAUGAAAUUCAUGAAGUUAGAGAAAAUUGUCACGAUGAAUAAGUUGCUUAGGCCAAGCUGAAGUUGUUCUUAAGGUUAUGGAGGAGACGGGUGUCAAAACUAAAGAUGUUAAGGGAAGAGAGGCAAUUAGCAUCAAAUGCUGCACUUAACUCAUUACCAUUGGCCCCCCAAUUCGUCAUUGUAUAGAAAAUACUGGUUACUUUGACAAGUUUGAUAUUGAUACAACGAUGAGGGAAAGAUAUGGAAAACAGGAAAACUCACGGUCAAGACUUAAUGUUUCUAAUAUAGUUGUUGACACACUAGGCAGAAGAAAUCCAGAUGCUAAAUGCUUUUGCUGGAAAAUUAUUUUAUGCACUCAGAUGAGCAGUGCACGUGAAAUGGGGACCGCAGGCUUGUGGUUAACAUCGAAGUUAAUUCCUUCUUGCGAUGAUGAUGUGAUGAUUUCAUCUCCUGGCUUGGUAAUAUGGAGGAAAUGGAUUCCUAGUCAAUCUGACAUUGAUCCUACCUGCUGCCUCUCUGUAAUUAGAGAUAUAGGAGUCAGUAGUCGAGAUGAGGUAUUAUCAGGGGCAAGUGAAAUUUUGUUUCUAGUGUCUGAGAGCAUCUCUUGGAACCAUCAGAGAGUUCAUCUCCAUAAUCUUUUGAUGUCAAUUCCCUCCGGUGCUUGUUUGCCUCUACUGAUCCUUUGUGACUCAUACGAUUCCUCUUCUGUUAUAAUCAAUGAACUGGGCCUUCAAGACAUCGACAAAUUGCGUGUUAGUAGCUUCUUGUUUUUCUCAGGGAAAACGAGCAGAGAAAACACAUGGAUAGAUUUUACGGUGAUACCCGGUUAAGAGAAGGGCUGCAAUGGCUGGCAGGUGAAUCACCGAGGACACAGCUUGAGAGUUUCUUGAUCCAGUACCUGACUCAUACUAGUAAUAUGAUGGGAGUUUCAUUGGCAGCAAAAGAGGUGCAUGUCAUAACACAAAGAUGUGCUAGACUUGAGUUGUGUGGCACAAGCUACCGUGUAGUUCCACAUUGGGGUAUGAUUUUUCGUCGAAUUUUUAACUGGCGAUUAAUUGGUUUAUCUAGUAGUGAAGUUUCCUCUGCUUACAUCUCAGAAUGUCA